GUGCUCGCUUUGGCAGCACACAUACUAAAAUUGGGACGAUACAGAGAAGAUUAGCAUGGCCCCUGGGCAAGGAUGGCAUGCAAAUUCAUAAAGCAUUCCAUAAAAAU